rnacentral:rRNA from 1 species
GACGAACGCUGGCGGCGUGCUUAACACAUGCAAGUCGAGCGGUAAGGCCCUUUCGGGGGUACGACGAGCGGCGAACGGGUGAGUAACACGUGGGUGACCUGCCCUCAGCUCUGGAUAAGCCUGGGAAACUGGGUCUAAUACUGGAUAUGACUCCACGGUGCAUGUCGUGGGGUGGAAAGCCUUGUGCGGCUGAGGAUGGGCCCGCGGCCUAUCAGCUUGUUGGUGGGGUGANGGCCUACCAAGGCGACGACGGGUAGCCGGCCUGAGAGGGCGACCGGCCACACUGGGACUGAGACACGGCCCAGACUCCUACGGGAGGCAGCAGUGGGGAAUCUUGCGCAAUGGGCGAAAGCCUGACGCAGCGACGCCGCGUGAGGGAUGACGGCC